UAGCGAAGGGGGCUAGCGUUGUUCGGAAUCACUGGGCGUAAAGCGCACGUAGGCGGGUUCUUAAGUCAGGGGAUGAAAUCCCGAGGCUCAACCUCGGAACUGCCUUUGAUACUGGGGAAUCUUGAGUUCGGGGAGAGGUGAGUGGAAUUGCGAGUGUAGAGGUGAAAUUCGUAGAUAUUCGCAAGAACACCAGUGGCGAAGGCGGCUCACUGGCCCGAUACUGACGCUGAGGUGCGAAAGCGUGGGGAGCAAACAGG
rnacentral:rRNA from 1 species